CUAAGAUUGUGUCCCAUUUUUUACUGUUAGAAAUAAUGCUAUAACAUUAUUUACAAUGUAUGUUCUGUAGCCAUGUCCUUAAACACAGGUGUUCCACUCUCUGUGAUCAUCGCGUCUCUCAGACCUGCUCCUCACCUGGCCUAGGCUCUGCUCUGGGGUCACCCUUCCUCAGCAUGGCAACUUGGCUCUUGAAGACCAAGUUGCACUUGAAGACCAGGUCUUACUCACCAGAAUUCUCCCUGGAUCAUCCUUGUCAGGGAUUCCUACCCCACCUUGCCACCCACACCCGGCCCCUCCUAAAGGGAAUGUUCUUUGGCAGGAACGAAGGGCAUAUGUUAGGUCAUACGGUGAGGAGACUUCAUGUGAGUGCUCAAUAUUAACUGGAACUCAGAGGAGGCUUGGUUCCCAGUGGGAAGGAGAAAUGGGAGAGUUUUCUUGGCGAAGGGACAGCAAGAGCCAGCAUAGGCAAAGGAACGUGGUAGUGUCAGGAGAGGACCACGUAAAGAGCUGGCCAGCAGAUGGAAGCUGAGUGCUGCUGGAGAGUAGGAGGCUGGAUUAGUAACGUGAUGUGAACUGAGGAAGUUAAAGGUUUGUGUCCUCCAUCAGAUUACUGCAUUUCAGCUUUGUAGAAGGAAGUGGCAGGUUGGGCAGUGCCAGUGGCAGGGAUGAUGGUGGCCUGGAGACCCUUGAGGGGCAGAAACAGUGGCUUACUCCUGUGCUUCUGUGGUCUGUUUCCUCACUUUGCCCCAUCCAUCAAGUGUUGAGGCUCGGUGGAGUUGAGCUUCCUUUUCCCUCCAUCACUCACAUCCCACUUCCCAUCACCUGCUUCCAAGCAAGAGAACUCCAGGUUACUGGCCUCCGGCAGCAGUCCAGCUGUUACCAGUAAACUGGAAGCUGACGUCACUAACAAGCAUUCAGGGAGCACCAAGAAGCAGACCAGAGGUCUCCUAAGCUUGACUCCUCUUCGGCAUGAGACUAAGGAAGCUCCCCAAGUUCCAGUCAGAGGUCUGAAUUUGUGAAUUUGCUGAGGCUGAUAGGACAGUGUGGGCUGUCCCUGAAAGUUGGAGGAGGUGACAACAAGGUUGGGGGCCUUCCAUAUGGGUGCCUGCUGUACCACAUAUCCAGUAAAAACAGAACAUUUACGAAUGAUAUUUACAAUGGCCUCCUCCAUGAGAAAGGAAAGAAGAAAGACAUAAAAGAGAACAAAGCCAGGCCAACUCUUAAAAAUUAUUUAAUAGAAAGUCCAAUGUCAAAAUGUAAC
rnacentral:lncRNA from 10 species